ACUCCUACGGGAGGCAGCAGUGGGGAAUAUUGCACAAUGGGGGAAACCCUGAUGCAGCCAUGCCGCGUGUGUGAAGAAGGCCUUCGGGUUGUAAAGCACUUUCAGUAGGGAGGAAGGUAGUNUAGUUACACCUGCAUUAUUUGACGUUACCUACAGAAGAAGCACCGGCUAACUCCGGUGCCAGCAGCCGCGGUAAUACGGAGGGUGCGAGCGUUAAUCGGAAUUACUGGGCGUAAAGCGCAUGCAGGCGGCCUGUUAAGUCAGAUGUGAAAGCCCGGGGCUUAACCUCGGAAUUGCAUUUGAAACUGGCAGGCUAGAGUCUUGUAGAGGGGGGUAGAAUUUCAGGGUGUAGCGGUGAAAUGCGUAGAGAUCUGAAGGAAUACCAGUGGCGAAGGCGGCCCCCUGGACAAAGACUGACGCUCAGAUGCGAAAGCGUGGGGAGCAAACAGGAUUAGAUACCCUGGUA
rnacentral:rRNA from 1 species